rnacentral:rRNA from 1 species
GACGAACGCUGGCGGCGGGCUUAACACAUGCAAGUCGAACGAGGUUCACCGAGUAGCGAUACGAGGGAAGACCUAGUGGCGAACGGGUGAGUAUCACGUGAGAAACCAACCCCGGUCUCUGGGAUAACAGUUGGAAACGACUGCUAAUACUGGAUGUCGUCGUACCCUCGCAUGGGGGGAUGACGAAAGGGUUACCGGAUCGGGACGGUCUCGCGGCCUAUCAGCUUGUUGGGGAGGUAACGGCUCACCAAGGCUUCGACGGGUAGCUGGUCUGAGAGGAUGAUCAGCCACACUGGGACUGAGACACGACCCAGACUCCUACGGGAGGCAGCAGUGGGGAAUCUUGCGCAAUGGGCGAAAGCCUGACGCAGCCACGCCGCGUGCGGGAUGAAGGCCCUAGGGUUGUAAACCGCUUUUAACAGGAACGAAAAUGACGGUACCUGUAGAAUAAGGUGCGGCCAACUACGUGCC